UAAAGUACUUUCGGUGAUGAGGAAGGUGACGUAUCUAAUAGGUGCGUUAAUCGACGUUAAUUACAGAAAGAAGCACCGGCUAACUCCGUGCCAGCAGCCGCGGUAAUACGGAGGGUGCGAGCGUUAAUCGGAAUCGACUGGGCGUAAAGGGCAUGUAGGCGGAUAAUUAAGUUAGGUGUGAAAGCCCUGGGCUCAACCUAGGAAUUUGCACUUAAAACUGGUUAACUAGAGUAUUGUAGAGGAAGGUAGAAUUCCACGUGUAGCGGUGAAAUGCGUAGAGAUGUGGAGGAAUACCGGUGGCGAAGGCGGCCUUCUGGACAGAUACUGACGCUGAGAUGCGAAAGCGUGGGGAGCAAACA
rnacentral:rRNA from 1 species